ACAACGGCUGAUCCCAGAUUUAGAGACGAAAAAAAAAAGAAGAAAAAAAACUGCUGUCAAGCGCAGGCUUUAAGAGAAAGUUCAAUUAACACACAGAGGCAGGGCCAGCUUCAGAUAAGCGUGUCUUAAAAACAAAUAUUUAAAAGUACAAAACAAAAAUGCUGUGGUGAAACCCGGUAUUAGCACAUCUAUAAUCGUGUUAUUAUAUCGUACUGCAGGUUGUAUUGGCUUCCUGUACCUGGAAUUAGAUAAUGCAUUAGGAAACCAUAACAUUCUCGGAAGGAGCUGAUAAAGUAACUCAGAGGAGGUUUUUGAACGAUUAUACGAGUAAACACAGCAAUAAGAAAGAAGUGGAGAACGGAGAAGAUGAAAUAUAGAAAUAUGUAUUAGACUGCAGUGCACAUACCGUACAACAAGAAUGAAAACAGGACAUUUCAGACAAGACGUCCCUCGACAGCCUCCUCCGGAAUUCAGUGUUGGUUGUAGGAAAUUCGUGAAUUACCCUGUGAGGACACUAGGUGGGGGCAUUCAUCACAGUUUAAAUCCUGUUGGACGUCAAGGCUCUUUGUAAAGUAUUACGACAGCUACGGAAGCCAUGCGUUUUAUAGAUGAACGGUGAAUACUUUACAAGAGCUCUUGUAAACAACAGCGUUUUCCAAUGGCGGUGCUGCCUGUGCUUGGCCAUACUUUUACUAUGAUGUCACUGUGCUUUAUUACUAACCUUAUAUUGUACAAUGGUAUAUAGCUUUUUUAUAAGACGUAGGAAGCCCUCCGUAGAAAGUAGGCUAUACACACAAGCCACUCGUCUGCACAAGCGUUUAUCAUCCAUUUUAGAAGACACGGAGGCUGUUAUUGUGCUUCAGCUACUGUCAGAAAGUUUUACACCCUAGCAAAGCUGUCCACAUUACCCCCUGAGCCAGAGGCCUGCACACAGCUUUCGGAGUAUGACGUUAUGCGAUGACAAGAGAUGUGGAAAUAAAGUUCUGUUUCCGUUGACGAAAGCCGAGAGAGCAGCGUACCUUUGGGCCACUUCCAGUUCUCGCUCUGAAAGCUGGGUUUCGUGCUCGAGAAAGAAAACUUCACCAAAGUCGGGGGGGGGAGUAUGAAAGCUAAUCACCAGACCUGCCAUUGACAGGUGUUAAAUGAAAAAAAAAACUCCAGCUGACAAGCAAUGUAAAGAUUUGUAAUUAAAUAAGAUGUUGAAUAUUUGUCCGUGAAACACAGAAGUGUAGAUCGCUGUAUAUUUAAAAAACAGUAGACAUUUAGAAUAAUGUUAAACUUUCAAACUGUAUAAAACUUCAUAAGUAAACAGUAUAUGCUUCAAGAGCCAAAUAUAUUUGUUUGUGUUACUUCAUAUGUAAUACGAUGCAAACUUCCUGUUGAAAUCCCACGUUCUUCUAGUUUAGACUUGCUUCUUAUAUAUUCAGUAUCCAACAGCUUUCGGGCAUUAUCUUAAUUAUCAAUAAAAAAAAAACAUAACGGCAAGCUCCAACUUGUAUAUUGUACUGUAAUAUUCUAUAAAAACAAAAAUUCAUGAGCAACAGAGUUGCCAUUCAAUAAAAAUGUGGUUCGAGACCUUGGUCCUCGAGUGUCCCUUUCUGCACCAGACCAACUAUCUGUUAACACGAGUAGAAACACUGAAUGUGCCCCUAGAACUUUGCUAUUUACUGGUGGAAGACCCAGCUCCAGUCGAGUUUUAGAAAGAAAGUUUUUAAGAAGGAGAGAGAGGGAAGCGAAACACAACAGCAAGUGCUAAACAGAUUAAUUUAUUAAGCAAAUUAGCUAUUUUAUCAGCCAGUCUUGAAUAAAGAGGGAUCAGAGUGCUAUCAAGGGGGAUACAUGAUGGAGUGCCAAAGUAAUGCUACUCUCCGCUUAAUGAACCAGUAGUGCAUCAGUUAACGUAAGAGCAGAGGAUUCUGGGAACCACCUCCUCCCCCAGGAAGUACCUCCCUCCUUCUCUCCCUACAUAUAACGCAUCAGUGGUGCUUCUGUUCAUGCAAUGGCGGAGGAUUUCUGGAUGUAUCCUCACCCUUUUAAUGAAAGCAGUACCAGCUCCCAGCUGUAAACACACAACAUUUGACGGUACAGCUGGGGGCUGUAUCUACAAAGACAGAAGCAUGGUAACUUCUGUAAAACAGGACUUCCUGGUUUUCAAGCAUCACCUGACCAAUCGCCUUCCAGCAACUGGUCAGGUGACUGAGGGUGGCGGGACAUUUCCCCACCGUUUUCUGAGGAAUGUAGUUCAGGCCAGAACUGUCAUUUUGCAUGUGCAAGGAAUCCUCAUAACUAACAGACCAACAACAAACAGACCACUGAACGUUUGCCUCCCUUGACUUCACAAAUCUUUUCACAAAGACUCUUACAUUAAAUCAAAGCCUCCAGUGCACAUUACUUGACUGUGCCUCCUGGUGACUUGUAUGCUAUCCAGUAGGAAUCAUCCAUAGAGUCCUGGGUUAGUAUCUUAUUCAGCAGGCCAGCCAGCUCCUAGGCGAGGUAAAGGUAGACAAGCACCCCUGUACAGAGCCAAUAAAGAUGUCAUUUUAUAAAUGAUCCUAGAAAAUCUUUAAUAGUUGCAUAUUUAUUGAUCCACAGGAUUAACAGCUGCUUAUAUGUGUGUAUACAUUAAUAUGCACACACACGCACGCACACACACAUAUAUAUUUAUAUCUACACGCUAUCAGAGGCCUCACAAUAUCUGUACAUCGUUGCAAAAAAUUGUGAAGGAAAUGUGCCACGCGAAGCAACACAAUGUUGAAAUUCCAAAAUUAAAAUCAUAAAAUUACAUUUUUUUGGUAAAAAA